AUGAACGCUAGCGACAGGCCUAACACAUGCAAGUCGAGGGGCAGCACAAGGAGCAAUCUGAGGUGGCGACCGGCGCACGGGUGAGUAACACGUAUGCAACCUGCCUGUAAGCGGGGAAUAACCCGUUGAAAGACGGACUAAUACCGCAUAAUACUAAAUUACUGCAUGGUAAUUUAUUUAAACAUUUAUGGCUUACAGAUGGGCAUGCGCAUGAUUAGCUAGUUGGAGAGGUAACGGCUCCCCAAGGCAACGAUCAUUAGGGGUCUGAGAGGAAGGUCCCCCACACUGGUACUGAGACACGGACCAGACUCCUACGGGAGGCAGCAGUGAGGAAUAUUGGUCAAUGGACGAGAGUCUGAACCAGCCAAGUCGCGUGCAGGAAGAAUGUUCCCUAUGGAUUGUAAACUGCUUUUGCAGGGGAAUAAAGUGCAUCACGUGUGAUGUUUUGUAUGUACUCUGCGAAUAAGGAUCGGCUAACUCCGUGCCAGCCGCCGC
rnacentral:rRNA from 1 species